UACGUAGGGGGCAAGCGUUGUCCGGAAUCAUUGGGCGUAAAGAGCGUGUAGGCGGCCAGAUAAGUCCGCUGUGAAAGUCCAGGGCUCAACCCUGGAAGGCCGGUGGAAACUGUCGGGCUAGAGUCCGGAAGAGGCGAGUGGAAUUCCUGGUGUAGCGGUGAAAUGCGCAGAUAUCAGGAGGAACACCGAUGGCGAAGGCAGCUCGCUGGGACGGUACUGACGCUGAGACGCGAAAGCGUGGGGAGCGAACAGG
rnacentral:rRNA from 1 species